UGAGUAACGCGUGGGUAACCUGCCUCAUACAGGGGAUAACAGUUAGAAAUGACUGCUAAUACCGCAUAAGACCACGGAGCCGCAUGGCUCAGUGGGAAAAACUCCGGUGGUAUGAGAUGGACCCGCGUCUGAUUAGGUAGUUGGUGGGGUAACGGCCUACCAAGCCAACGAUCAGUAGCCGACCUGAGAGGGUGACCGGCCACAUUGGGACUGAGACACGGCCCAAACUCCUACGGGAGGCAGCAGUGGGAAAUAUUGCACAAUGGGGGAAACCCUGAUGCAGCGACGCCGCGUGAGCGAAGAAGUAUUUCGGUAUGUAAAGCUCUAUCAGCAGGGAAGAAAAUGACGGUACCUGACUAAGAAGCACCGGCUAAAUACGUGCCAGCAGCCGCGGUAAUACGUAUGGUGCAAGCGUUAUCCGGAUUUACUGGGUGUAAAGGGAGCGUAGACGGCUGUGUAAGUCUGAAGUGAAAGCCCGGGGCUCAACCCCGGGACUGCUUUGGAACUAUGCAGCUAGAGUGUCGGAGAGGUAAGUGGAAUUCCCAGUGUAGCGGUGAAAUGCGUAGAUAUUGGGAGGACACCAGUGGCGAAGGCG
rnacentral:rRNA from 1 species